CCUUGACGAAGAAUCAACUUCGACAAAUGCCACGACAAGGAGAUUUACAUG
rnacentral:ncRNA from 1 species